CAGCCGCCGCGGUAAUACGUAGGUGGCAAGCGUUGUCCGGAAUUAUUGGGCGUAAAGCGCGCGCAGGCGGAUAGGUCAGUCUGUCUUAAAAGUUCGGGGCUUAACCCCGUGAUGGGAUGGAAACUGCCAAUCUAGAGUAUCGGAGAGGAAAGUGGAAUUCCUAGUGUAGCGGUGAAAUGCGUAGAUAUUAGGAAGAACACCAGUGGCGAAGGCGACUUUCUGGACGAAAACUGACGCUGAGGCGCGAAAGCCAGGGGAGCGAACGGGAUUAGAUACCCGAGUAGUCCCUGUCUCUUAUACA
rnacentral:rRNA from 1 species